rnacentral:rRNA from 1 species
CGCGGCCUAUCAGCUUGUUGGUGCGGUAGUGGCGCACCAAGGCUUUGACGGGUAGCCGGCCUGAGAGGGCGGUCGGUCACAUUGGGACUGAGAUACGGCCCAGACUCCUACGGGAGGCAGCAGUGGGGAAUUUUGCACAAUGGGCGAAAGCCUGAUGCAGCGACGCCGCGUGAGGGAUGACGGCUUUCGGGUUGUAAACCUCUUUUAUCCACCACGAAGGCCCCGUAUUCGCGGGGUUGACGGUAGUGGUUGAAUAAGCGCCGGCUAACUACGUGCCAGCAGCCGCGGUAAGACGUAGGGCGCGAGCGUUGUCCGGAUUUAUUGGGCGUAAAGGGCUCGUAGGCGGUUGAUUGCGUCCGCCGUGAAAGGCCUCGGCUUAACCGGGGUUUUGCGGUGGAUACGGGUCGACUUGAGGCAAUUAGGGGAGAUCGGAAUUCUACGUGUAGCGGUGAAAUGCGCAGAUAUGUGGAGGAACACCGGUGGCGAAGGCGGAUCUCUGGGAUUGUUCUGACGCUGAGGAGCGAAAGCGUGGGGAGCGAACAGGAUUAGAUACCCUGGUAGUCCAUGCUGUAAACGGUGGGCGCUAGGUGUGGGGUCACGUUGGUUGAUUCUGUGCCGUAGCUAACGCAUUAAGCGCCCCGCCUGGGGAGUACGG